GGUACCUUAACCUUAGAAUGGGACUUUUUCAGAAAUCAAAUUUUUCAUAAGCCAAUUUUCCUUUCUCUCUAGAAACCCUUUUUCCCUAAAUUCUCUCUGCCUUCUCUCUAGAUUUCCAGCUAAUUGAACCGUUCAAUCUUGGAUUUGAAGGUGCUCAAGCGUUCACCACACCGAAAGCUUUCUUUUGAUCCGAUUAUAUUUUCGAUUGGAUCAGUACUGUAAAUUCCUGUGUUGCAUAAAGUUGUUGUGAGAGCGUCUCUUGUGAACUGUACUGUGAGAAACCAAGAGGAGAAUGAGGUGUCAGUGGGGGAUGUCUUGGAGGAAAAUGGAGAUGUUGCUGCCUAGUUCUUUAGGCUUUAAUUAUCUUAUCCUAGGAUAUUUUGAAGAUACUUUGUCAUGUUCUAAGUUUUAAAUUCUUUGUAAUUUAAAGGAGAAACUCUAGUACUCCAAGUUUCCAAAUUGUACUGUUUAAGGAUGACUGUAAUCCUAUUACUCUUAACUGCUUUCUAGUAUUAUUCAUACU